CAAUGCCGUCUGCUCUGCGCAUUAAUAGUAAUACAGAUAACGGGUUUGAAAGAAUUCUCUACUGAAGAAGGAUUGAAUGUUUUCCAGGGUGCCGAUACUGAGAAGAAACCCGGCGUUACUCUCUCCCUAUUUCUCCACUCUUAGAUUUAAAGUCUCAGACAGCUUUUGCUUGGUUUAAACUCAGGAAGGUCUCCCUGCUCAGCAAAGUUGGAGGGCUGCGCCUGCACCACCAAGCUGCUAGAUUUCUGAGAACAGUCUUAUCAAAGGAUAACACAAAUCUGUAUCACUGGCUGGGUGUAAUGCAAGGAAGGGACAAAGAUGAAAUGGAAACAUCUUCCUUUUUUGGUCAUAAUAUCACUCCUCAGCGUGUCAAAACAUCAUCUGUUUCUGGCUCAGCUUAUUCCAGAUUGCUAUGCCUGUUAUCUGAAGAUGAACACAAACACCAGAUGAUAAGGACUUUACA
rnacentral:lncRNA from 1 species